rnacentral:tRNA from 1 species
GCCAGUGUGGUGUGGUGGUUUGAAUGUUAGACUGUGACUCUGGAGACCAGGGUUCAAUUCCUUGUUCAGCCA